rnacentral:rRNA from 1 species
AUUGAACGCUGGCGGCAGGCCUAACACAUGCAAGUCGAGCGGAUGAAGGGAGCUUGCUCCUGGAUUCAGCGGCGGACGGGUGAGUAAUGCCUAGGAAUCUGCCUGGUAUUGGGGGAUAACGUCCGUAAACGGGCGCUAAUACCGCAUACGUCCUGAUGGAGAAAGUGGGGGAUCUUCGGACCUCACGCUAUCAGAUGAGCCUAGGUCGUAUUAGCUAGUUGGUUGGGUAAAGGCGUACCAAGGCGACGAUCCGUAACUGGUCUGAGAGGAUGAUCAGUCACACUGGAACUGAGACACGGUCCAGACUCCUACGGGAGGCAGCAGUGGGGAAUAUUGGACAAUGGGCGAAAGCCUGAUCCAGCCAUGCCGCGUGUGUGAAGAAGGUCUUCGGAUUGUAAAGCACUUUAAGUUGGGAGGAAGGGCAGUAAGUUAAUACAUUGCUGUUUUGACGUUACCAACAGAAUAAGCACCGGCUAACUUCGUG